GCAAUGAUGACGAAAUAGUAGUUUUGAUUUAAUGCUGAAAAUUCUUCUCAAAACCUCUAAGAAGUUCUGAGCUU
ensembl:snoRNA